rnacentral:rRNA from 1 species
AUUGAACGCUGGCGGCAUGCCUUACACAUGCAAGUCGAACGGUAACAGGGAGCUUGCUCCGCUGACGAGUGGCGAACGGGUGAGUAAUGUAUCGGAACGUACCUUUCAGUGGAGGAUAACGUAGCGAAAGUUACGCUAAUACCGCAUAUUCUGUGAGCAGGAAAGCUGGGGAUCGCAAGACCUUGCGCUGAUUGAGCGGCCGAUAUCAGAUUAGCUAGUUGGUGAGGUAAAGGCUCACCAAGGCGACGAUCUGCAGCGGGUCUGAGAGGAUGAUCCGCCACACUGGAACUGAGACACGGUCCAGACUCCUACGGGAGGCAGCAGUGGGGAAUUUUGGACAAUGGGGGCAACCCUGAUCCAGCCAUGCCGCGUGAGUGAAGAAGGCCUUCGGGUUGUAAAGCUCUUUCGGCCGGGAAGAAAUCGCAUGGGUUAAUACCCUGUGCGGAUGACGGUACCGGCAUAAGAAGCACCGGCUAACUACGUGCCAGCAGCCGCGGUAAUACGUAGGGUGCGAGCGUUAAUCGGAAUUACUGGGCGUAAAGCGUGCGCAGGCGGUUUUGUAAGACAGGCGUGAAAUCCCCGGGCUCAACCUGGGAACUGCGCUUGUGACUGCAAGGCUAGAGUAUGGCAGAGGGGGGUGGAAUUCCACGUGUAGCAGUGAAAUGCGUAGAGAUGUGGAGGAACACCAAUGGCGAAGGCAGCCCCCUGGGCCAAUACUGACGCUCAUGCACGAAAGCGUGGGUAGCAAACAGGAUUAGAUACCCUGGUAGUCCACGCCCUAAACG